GCACGACUCGUGGCGACAAGAGCCUAGGGGACUGGCCUAUAUUAACGCCACCUGUGAUGUGGAAAUUGUGCUCCAUCUCUGAAUUACAUUUUAAGAACCCAUCACAACGUUAGUUUUGAGUAGACACACAAAAAGAAAAUUACAGUUCAGAGAAUUCACGUUCUGAAUACAAUGGACAGAUAAUCAUCUCAACGUGAUCAGCCAAACAUCUUUACUUCUCUAAACUGUUAAAGAUUUUAAUUAUACCGGCUUCGAAGAGCAGUGGUCUAAUGAGGCAAUAGACUCUAGAGAAUAUAGAAAUGAGCAGAUCAGUCACAGUUGCCAGCCAAUUUGUGCUAAGAACUCUCCACUAAUUCAACCCAUAGUCCCAGCGCAUGGGUCAGCUUUUCUCUGCGAGCCAACAAAAAGGAGCCACA